GAUUGAAGGUGCCCUCUGGUUGUGAGUUGGUAGUUGGUGGAGAGCCGCAGUGCUGGUCUGAGGGAAGCUGCCUGCUGUUCGAUGACUCUUUUCUUCACACUGCGUUCCAUGAUGGUUCUCCAGAAGAUGGCCCGAGAGUGGUAUUCAUGGUGGACCUGUGGCAUCCAAACGUGGCCGCAGCCGAGAGACAGGCACUGGACUACAUCUUCACCCCUGGGCGCUGAAAGAGAGCCG